UUCUUUUUUUUUUUGUAUUUUUGUAUCCAGCUGCAGCAGCUGGUUUUCGUGCUUUUUGUUGCUGUUGUCGCAUCUGAUUAGCGCCAAGUAAAGCUGUUUCGAGCUGGCAAUGAAAGAAAUGUGGGCAAAAAAGUAGCGAAAACCACACGUCGCUCAGUCUCACGUGGGUGCCGAGGUCUACAGAGGCAGAAACUUGUAAUCAGUCUUCGGAACUUCAGAAGCUGUGGAGACGGGGCAUUAAAGAUGGUGAGAUUGGGGUAGGAAAUGUGGACUCUAUAUGCAUAGUAUAUGUAUUCCUCACAGUCCAAAACAGGGCCAAAACAACCGCAGUCUCAGUCGAAGUGGCCGUCGACGUCUUGCAUUUAUAAGGUUAGAGCAACAUAUUUGCAUGGUGAAGUAACUACACAGUGAUCGGAUCUACAGUGGAUUCUGCCUUAUAAAUACAGGGUUGGCCCGUUGCGGUCUACUGCCAUCAGCUGGGCGUUGCAUGUGUGUGCGUGAGAGCAACGUCAAUUAAAUAAAACAAAAAAAAAGAACAAUAAAAUGGGAACGAGGGACCGAAGCGCAGAAUACCCUUGUAGAUCAAUAACUUCCAUUCUGCCAGUGCGACAGACACCAAACUUUACAUGAUCCACUGAAAUGGUAUAAUACAUAAAGCUACCAAGUUUUGUAACAAUCCAUUUUGUAACAACACAGUUACGAUAGUUUGAUCGAAUAUGUACAGCCAAAAUAGUACCUUAGCAUUAUAUUUAACGAAUAUCCUUAAAUGUAUAUCAUUAAUUUUCAAAUUUCCAUGUUGUUCCAUACUUUUACUCCAUUUAAUAGUACCAUUGUUUCAAAAAGGGUAUAAAAAACAUUGCCGACAAUGAAAAAUUCAAAUAAAGAUGCCAUUUUUUGUGGCGCUUUCUACCUCUAAUUACACAAAUUGAAAAGCGCACACGUGAGCUUUGCUUUUUUUUCUUUUGUGGGUGUGUACUGACACACGUGUGUGCAUCCAGGACCGGCCACGCCCAGAUUCCCGGCAGAUAUACCACCCCGCCCCCAGGAGUCCGCCGGAAUCCGGAUUGAGCCGACCGUAAAGCGGAAAGCAUUGCGUGAGGCCCCGAAUCGCAUAAUGCUCGAGGUACUUAGGCCCAGAUCGUGCCAAGCAGAUAGUUAAAUCCAGACCCGCCUCUUUCCAGUGGGUGCGACAUGCAAGGAACUCAUUUUAGAACCCAUCCAAGUUUUACAAUCCAACAUAAACAUAGCAUAAUCUUGUAAAAAUAGAGGGUUCCCUAAUGAUGCAAUUUCAUUUGCUAGAGGGUUCCUACAAAGUUUAAAAGAUUAUAAAACUUUUUUGAUAUCAUAACUAUUUAUCAUAUUACUACAAAGUGCAGUAAAAGUUCGACUGCAUUCAAAAACUUGUAUACUUGAGUUAUUUCAGUUGCAACUUGUAAUGCAGUCUGUUAAUGAACUUGAGAGAACUUUUUCAAACAGGUUUGUGUGAAUAAUAAAUGAUAAAUUAACGUUGGGGUUGGGGAAACAUUUUAAUUUAUAUGAAACGUGUGGGAUUGGAGUUUAUUGCACAGUUUGGUUGGGAAACUGUAAUUGCACAGGUAUUGCACUUAAUAAAACUCAUAAUAAAAUCUGUGCUAACGGAUAUAAAUAAAAUUUCCUAAUAAGCCAACAAAUGUUGAACAAUGCAUCUGCUUAUGGGAUUGGCAUUGCCGAAAAUGAGGGUCGCGCCGCAGUGGCUCAACCUUGAACCCCGGACACCCGCCACUGGGUUAUUCGUGGGUUCGGGGUGGGUGGUUCCUUGGUGCAGUGGUGUUCCGUCCUGGGCCAACAUUUGGGUAAGGGGUGAAAUCAGCUGUUGUCAAUUGUGGUGGUUCCGCAUUCAGUUUUCAGUAUUCUGUUUUUAGGGCAUUACUGAUUACUGGUGGUGGCAAUUCCGUUGACUAAUCACUCCCAGCCUCAGAAGACUAAAUACACCCGGUCUCUUUCCGGCUGUAUUCUCCCCCAAAAUAAAGAGUAUAUAUCUAUAUGUAAUCCCAAAAUUCAAGAUAAGGCGAAACAGAAGAAUUAAUGUGUUACCCAUAUGCACUGCAGAUCCAUUUUAUAUGGGUGUGUGUCUGCCAAUGCAUUAAAUAACACAACUCAAGAGGCCUUCUCUGUUUCCCCUGAUAAAGUCAAGUAUACAACGCCCUACCCUCUUUUCUUUUCUUUCUUAUUUUUUCGUUUCCCUUCUCGAAAAACUCUUUAAAAUUGCAUUCGAAGUGGGAACGGCAAAGAACUUCGACCCUAUACUCAGAGAAGUCGUUAACCCUAUGAGUAACCCCAAGAAUGAUCUUAAAUACACAUAUAACACUUUCGUAUCUCAAGUAGAGUCACAAAUUAUAAGAUUUUCUCUUUAAUACUUCUUUAAAGACAUGUAUCCCUUUUAAUCUUUCCCUAACUUAUCCAGAAAUUAAGUUACUUAAGCCAUAAGUUAUAAAUCAAAACCCAAUUAUCUGAUUUCUUAUACUUAUACUUUUAAUAAAGGAAAAGGUUUUCUUUUUAGCUUAAUUUUCUUUAUCAAAACAAAAUCUAGGGAUGAUUGUAAUUGGUAUACAGAGGGUUAAGACUCUGUUGUUCCCACGUAGCCGGGGGUGUUAAUUUAUGACAGUGCAAAAAUGGGCGUGGCUGGCAAACACUUCGGUCGCCAAGCCAAAAAAGGCAAGGAUAUGAACUGAACAAUUGAAGAACAAAACACAAAAUCGUAAAAGUAAGAGCGUGAAAAAAUGGCAAAGUCAAAGGGUUGCACUCGAUUCUUGUGAGUCACCAAAGUCGCCAAUUUGAUCCGCCCAACCCUUUGAAUUCCAUAUACUACACAAUAGUCAGGUGCUUCUGUAUCAAGGUAAAAGAAAAACUAUUCUGAUUACACAUAUCGGUUUCUUUCUGGUUUUCCUUAACUUAUCAGCAGUAAAAAAUAUAUAACACUUGAAAGCCCACAUAUUGCUCGAUUUCUAGCGGUAAAAAUUUGUUCCCUUGAGACGGUCUCGUUUUUCAGUUCUAUUCAGAUCUAGAGCAACCAUAGACUAGAAGAAAAAAUACUGCUCCAAAGAAUGUUGCAAUUGUAAGGUGCAAUAACAUGAAAGAUUGUGUGUAAUAGGUAUAUAAUUUAUUGUCUUGGAUUUAUGAUUAUUUCUGGGUAACAAAUGGUAUGACUAUAUUUAUUUAUAUUUUGGUUUUAGUAUUAAACUGUAUUAACCAAUACUUCGAGUUUAUUUAUAAAAUUGACUUCUUCAUAUAUGGUUUUAAUGGUCCCACUGUCAGAGGAAGCUCAUCUCCAUACCAGAUAUGUACUUUAUGCUAUAUACACUUGAUCAGUCACUCGAACGGAAACGGAGGCGAUUACGAAUGCCGGUCGCAACGCAGAUCGCAGAAGAGGGAGAAAUAAAAGGGAAAAGAUACCAAAUGGAGUUGAAAACGAAAUGAGAAAUGGUUUUAUACGCUCGACAGGCGAUCGAGAUUCGUUAAUAUUCAAAUCGCAUCGUCGGAGGACCUUAGCAGGUAGACGUCGCUUCAUAAAUCGAUUCGACAUUCGAUUUAAGACUCGCGACCAAUUCUUUUACCAUAAGCGGGGCUUUAAUGAAGAGGAAGCAGAAGAAUCGGAUGAAGAAAAAGGAGUGGAAAUGGGCGUAUGAGGCAAGUACAGAGGGAAGUCUUUAAAUCGAACCUUUAUCUUACGUACAAGUAUUUAAAAAUAACAUAUUCUUAAAAUAUUGUAUCUCAAAUAAACAUUGAACAACAAUUUUUAAGUAUAAAUUGUUGAGUAGAUAAACUAGUCAUAAAAAUUUAAACAUUUUUGGA